AAAACUCCGAUGGUGGAUCAGGUAAUUCAGUUGCUCUUCUGUUUUGUCUGGGAAAAUUCAAUAAUCAAUUCCUCUCUCUUUUCUGUCUUUUGCAUAAUCUGGGUUGCAGAUGCUCAGCAACAAAACCUUUCUGGAAGGGGUGAUAAAUCGAGCUCCACUUCGCCGUGUGGGAGAUCCGAAGGAGGUGUCAUCUUUGGUGGCAUUCCUCUGUCUACCAGCAUCAUCUUACAUUACUGGACAGACUAUUUGUGUCGAUGGUGGCGUGACUGUUAAUGGUUUUGAGCCAAACCUGUUAUAGGAACAUCAUUAAGACUCAAAAAUCUUAGCUUCCUCUACCGCUUUCCUGUUUGGAUCCUGUCUUUUUCCUGAAUAAUCUGUUUGUGAUGGUAAGUACUCUUCUGUUUUUUCGGUGUGGGGUUCAUCUGAAAACAUUGUUGCAUGAUGCUUAUAAUAAUCGUUGGAAAGUUUGUAAGAAGUUACUUAUCAUUGGAUGAGAUUCUUGUGAUGAGUGUUUCCUAUAAUCAGAUUUAUCUUGUUAUAAGGUUGUUGUUGUAGUAGUAACUGCAAUUCAAAGGAAAUUAAUUUAGUAUAAUACUGUAGGUUGUUGUCUAGUGUCUACUACCUCAGCUUCUCAUCCCACCCAACUCUCCCUCUUUAACUACCUAAUAUGAAAUUAAAAUAUGAAUUUAACAACCUGUCCGUCUUGUCCACCGUUUCUUUGGCUCUUCAGUCUUCAGACUUCGGCCUUUUAAAGCAGGACCUAAAAGGUUUGGGCCCAAAUGUUGGAAAAACUUAACACAGGCUGCAAUUUUGGGCCCCAAAACUCUUUCCAACUGGGCCUGAACACUUUUAGGCCCAAGAUGCUUUAGAUUUUGGACUCGCAGACCAUGUAUAUGCCCUCAACACCACCAUGCUUUACUUCAUCCCUUCCUUUCAAAUUAAAAGGAAAUUCAAAUUUCAUGAUGUUACAACUUGCUCAUUGAUGUACAUUCCCAUUCACAAAAAAUAAAAUAUUAAAUGCACUUAUCCAAAAUAUCUUCAUACCUACCUAUUUUUAUUUUUAAAAUAAAAUUUAAACGUUGAAUAACAAAAAUACCAUUUUUGUCAUCCUUACCCUUCACCCUUCCGAAACCCUAAUCUAAUCUUCCCUUUCUCUCUUCUUUCAUUUUCCAUCUUCUUAAAUGGGAAAAUAACGAUCAUCAGAGCCCACCGUGACUUGUGACAGGUUCGAUCCCUUAACAAUGACGAGGCCAUUAUGGAUAAUAUAAGGAUAAGCAUUACAAUAUUUCACUCCUUCACGUGCAUCUCCCUUCACACAAAGAUGCUUCCUUCACUCAUUUUAUAUUAAUAAUAUGAUAAAUUAUACAAAAAAAAAACAAUUUUUUUUUUAUCAAAAUUGUUUUCAACAAUAUUUCAAAUAUAUAUAUAUAUAUAUAUAUAUAUAUAAAUUUGGAAAACUUGUAUUUUGGAGCUGCUAUUUAGAAAUUAUAUAGUUUUCGGAACCCAAAAAUGAGAAAUAUGAUAAUCAAAUUUUAAUAUGAAAAGUAUUAUCGUUUUUGUGCACUUUGAGUAGACUUCAUCUUUUGUGCCCAAAUGGCCCCUCCAUGUCUCCAGCUCAGCAUUCUUAGCAUCAUCCCAACCUUUGUGUCAGUAGAACCAUUGAAAUUAAGAAAAAAAAAAACACAAAAAUCUAAAUUUGUAACUUCUCAAAAAAAAAAAAAAAAAAACCCAAUCUGCAAGUUUUCAAUUUGCUCAUUUGGAAAACAUUUUUUUUUAUAAAUAUCAAUAUUAUUUUUAAAAAAUGGUGACUUUUAGCUUUUAAUUAAAACUAAGAACAAGAAGUUAUUCCAAAUAUGACUUAUGUAUUUAUUCAGUGAAAGUAAUUUUUUCAUUUAAAAAAAGUAAUUUCUUGGUGAUAAAAAGAAAUAUUUUUUUAGUAGCUUUUCGAUGCUAUAAAAAAAGUGUUGGCUAAGUUUGUAUGAUAAAAUUGGUGUUAUUUAUAUACCAGCACUUUCGCUAGGGUCUUAUUUAUUGGGAAAACUGAUUAAUAAACUAAUCUUCUGUUUUGUUUUCAGUUCAAAGAGUGGUAGAGUAGAGGAGGAGGCAUGGCUCAGACAUUUGGGUGCAGCUCUGGAGAUAGUAGAUGGUCUCUCAAGGGAAUGACUGCUCUUGUAACUGGUGGAACUAAAGGAAUUGGGUUGGUGUUACCUGUUUUUAUGUCUUUGGGUUUGGACUAUACCUUCCUAUAUAUAAACGUAUGUAUCAAUUCUGCAGGCAUGCAAUUGUGGAGGAACUGGCUGGAUUAGGAGCAACCAUACACACGUGUUCUCGAAAAGAAACCGAGCUCAAUGAAUGCUUGAAGGAUUGGAAAGCUAAAGGUUUUGGAGUGAGUGGUUCAGUGUGUGAUGUAUCCUCUCGGGCCCAAAGGGAGAAGCUAAUGGAGACUGUCUCUUCUGUGUUCAAAGGGAAGCUGAAUAUCCUUGUAAGUUCCUCUAGUCUCUAAGGUUCCGAUCCAUGAUAUUCCACAUACUUUGUCGAACUUCCAACAAUUUGAGUUCCCCUACUUGAUAUAUAUAUUUUGGUUCCGGAUUCAGGUCAACAACGCUGCUAUUGUUAUUCAGAAACCAACAGUAGAGGUCACGGCAGAAGAGUUCUCAACAAUCAUGGCCAUAAAUUUUGAAUCUGUGUAUCAUCUGUCCCAACUCGCACACCCCCUUUUAAAGGCAUCAGGAGCGGGAAGCAUUGUAUUCAUCUCCUCUGUUGCCGGCGUAGUGUCAAUCAAGUAUCUGUCUGCUUAUUCAGUAACCAAAGGUAUUUCAUUACAUGAUCCACAUUAUAUAUAUAUAUAUAUAUUGCAAGUUCUUGGGUUGUGGCCCUUGUGGCCUUCUCGGCGUGUCAUUAUCAUUAUCAUAUUGUGAUUUUUCAGGAGCAAUGAAUCAGCUUACAAAGAAUUUGGCAUGCGAGUGGGCGGAAGACAAUAUUAGAAGUAAUGCAGUUGCUCCUUGGUACAUCAAAACUCCGAUGGUGGAUCAGGUAAUUCAGUUGCUCUUCUGUUUUGUCUGGGAAAAUUCAAUAAUCAAUUCCUCUCUCUUUUCUGUCUUUUGCAUAAUCUGGGUUGCAGAUGUUCAGUAACAAAACCUUUCUGGAAGAGGUGAUAAAUCGAGCUCCACUUCGCCGUGUGGGAGAUCCGAAGGAGGUGUCAUCUUUGGUGGCAUUCCUCUGUCUACCAGCAUCGUCUUACAUUACUGGACAGACUAUUUGUGUCGAUGGUGGCGUGACUGUUAAUGGUUUUGAGCCAAACCUGUUCUAGGAACAUCAUUAAGACUCUCAAAAAUCUUAGCUUCCUCUACCGCUUUCCUGUUUGGAUCCUGUCUUUUUCCUGAAUAAUCUGUUUGUGGUGGUAAGUACUCUUCUGUUUUUUCGGUGUGGGGUUCAUUUGAAAACAUUGUUGCAUGAUGCUUAUAAUAAUCGUUGGAAAGUUUGUAAGAAGUUACUUAUCAUUGGAUGAGAUUCUUGUGAUGGGUGUUUCCUAUAAUCAGAUUUAUCUUGUUAUUGUAGUAAUAGGAUUGAAAGAAAAAUGCAAAUAAUCAUAAAAGGAUGAUGAAAAUCGGGAAGAGUUCAUCAUUUUUACUUAUUCAAAUAUUACACCAUCUCUUAUUUACAAUAAAUUUCAAAGAGUGUAAGUGAAACCAACCUUAAAUUAAUUUUGUUUGAUAAAUUUAGAUGAAAUUCAACAAGUGUGAAUCUUUAAUUUUUUUUCAUUUCAAUUAAUUUGGUAUCUAUUAUGAGGUUGCCCAUCAAGCUAAAAAUGACCAAAUAUGAUAUAAGCAUGAAGUCUUUGUUAUAUCUCGGAGAUUAAGAAUUGAUUCCAAUACUUUAUAACUUCCUCUUUUUACUUUAUAUAUCCAUGAAUUUAAGAUAGGUCCCUCACAUGUUUAGCUUCUCCCCUUGACGUACGUAGUGUCAUAUGGACAAUAAUUAAUGCUUGUUCAGCUAAGGUCAAAUAUAUGAAAACAAAUAAGAUUCAUUCACGUAAAACAUACAUGUAGCAAAGAGACGAAGGAAAGUGGGUUCUGUGAUCUAUCACACAUCAUGGAAAAAGCUGUGGUACCAUGGCUUUUCCAGGACUUUUCCUUGCAUAAUGGUACUGACAACAGUAUGCUAUUCUGUUGUUACUCUUAAGAUAUUUUAAUAUAAAGUAGCGCGUAUGUACUAUAUACAAUUCAGUGACGCCAUCUAACACGUUAGCCAAUAAGGUUACAAAUUUUAAUUUUAUAUUAAUAAUAUGAUUUGGGUAUGCUCCAUAUUUUAAAAUAUAAUUGAAUCAUAAAUAUCUAGAACUAGAAAUCCUUUUGAGGGACCAAUAACAUAAAUCAUUAAAAUUUUAUAAUUUGAUAUUAUAAAUUCCUAAUUAAAUUUUAAAAUAUAUUAAAUUUAUUUGAUAUAAAUAUAUAUAAAAAUAAAGAAAAAAAUUAAUAUUUUCAUAUGAUAAAUUAUACAAAAAAAAACAAAUAUAUUUUUUUUUAUCAAAGUUGUUUUCAACAAUAUUUCAAAAAUAUAUAUAUAAAUUUGGGAAACUUGUAUUUUGGAGCUGCUAUUUAGAAAUGAUAUGGUUUUCAGAACCCAAAAAUGGGAAAUAUGAUAAUCAAUUUUUAAUAUGAAAAGUAUUAUCGUUUUUGUGCAUUCUGAGUCGGCUUCAUCUUUUGUGCCCAAAUUGCCCCUCCAUGUCUCCAGCUCAGCAUUCUCAACAUCAUCCCAACCUCCAUGUCAGUAGGACCAUUGAAAUUAAGAAAAAAAAAAACACUAAAAUCUAAAUUUGUAACUUCUCAAAAAAAAAAAAACCCAAUAUGCAAGUUUUCAAUUUGCUCAUUUGGAAGCUUUUUCUCAUCUUUUUCUCUCAUUUUAGUUUAGAAACUCAAAUCCAAAACUCUAAAUGUGAUAUGUUGUGGAAUUGUUUUCAUAGUCCUUAACAAGAUGCAUGCGGCAUGUACUGAACUUUAACCUAAUUCCUUCUACCAAUUUUUCUGGCCCCAAGUUACUAGGGACUAUGGCUCCGAUUGGGUGGUUUUUGAGUAGUCAAAAACCAUUUUUAAAGCUUAGUAAAAAAUUUUAUGCCCCUCAUUUUAUUUAAACAAUUUAUAACUUAAAAAAAUAAGAAAAUAAAAAAAAAUGUUUUUUUAAGCUUUAUUUUGACUUAUUCAAAAAGUUUUUUUAUUUUUUUUAUUUUUAUGUUUAAUACAUUUUUUAUAAUUUCAAUAUUAUUUUUAAAAAAUAGUGACUUUUAGCUUUUAAUUAAAACUAAGAACAAGAAGUUAUUCCAAAUAUGACUUAUGUAUUCAUUCAAUGAAAGUAACUUUUUCAUUUAAAAAAAGUAAUUUCUUGGUGAUAAAAAGAAAUAUUUUUUUAGUAGCUUUUUGAUGCUAUAAAAAAAGUGUUGGCUAAGUUUGUAUGAUAAAAUUGGUGUUAUUUAUAUACCUGCACUUUUGCUAGGGUCUUAUUUAUAGGGAAACUUGUGUUUAAUAUGCUCAAUUCUAUUUCUUUGUAUGGCUAUGCAAUUGUUCAGAUUUGGCAACACUAAUCAAUAAAUGUACGUUAUAUUUGAAACAUUGGAAUAAAAAAAAGAAUAAGAGUUAAUUUUAUUUUCAAUUUAUUACUAUAUUUGAAUUAUUUUUUACAAUGAUAAUAGAAUUAAAAAGAAAAUCACUUAGUAACCCUUAGGUACUACCUUAAUAUACCUUAAAUAACCUUAAUCGAUCUUAGAUAUUAUCUUAGUUACACUUGGGUACUACCUAUGUGAAGCCUCAAAACUUCAUUUGUAGACAUUACUUCAUGUGUGAACAUUAGAGAUGACAUUAUGUGCACCUUUAAUAAGUGUUACUAAGGUAGUACCUAAGGUACAAUCAACACUAUAUCAAAGGUGCACAUAAUGUCAUGCUCUAAUGUUCACAAAUAAAGUAAGUAAUGUUUACAAAUGAAGUUUCCAGGCUUCACACAGGUAGUAUCCAAGUCUAAUUAAGUAGUACCUAAGGUCGGUAAGGUAGAUUAAGGUAAUACCUAAGGGUUACUAAGGUAGUACCUAAGGUACAAUCACCACUAUAUCAAAGGGGCACAUAAUGUCAUGCUCUAAUGUUCACAAAUAAAGUAAGUAAUGUCCAUAAAUAAAGUUUCGAGGCUUCACACAGGUGGUACCCAAGUUUAACUGAGAUAAUACCUACAAUUAGUUAAAAUUAGUACCUACAAUCAGUUAAGAUAGUACUUAAGAUAAAUUAAUGUAGUACCUAAAGGUUACUAAGGUAGUACCUAAAGGUUACUAAGGUAGUACCUAAGGUACAGUAAAUACUAAAGAACAAUAAAUAAAAAUUAAUUACCUUCGUAUUUCGAGUAGGGGUUAGGGAAAAAUGUGACAGAAUGACAGGAAGACGAGACAUUUUUUUUUAGGAAACCAAUAUUUUGGAUUUCACCUUUUCGUCCAAGUACGCUUUGCUAUAGAAAAAUCAAUAUCAUAGUUGCGCCUAUUGAAACCAUCUUUUAACUGGACGUUCUUAGGAUGGAGUGCUCCAUUUGGUUGUUGAGAAUUUAGACAAGAAAGAAAAAUGCAGGUUGGAGUUUUGGAUUAAGGGUUUCUUUUCUCAAAUUGAAGAAAUUUUAGGAAAUUUUAAAUGGGUUUUAGGAUCGUCUGGGUGAUAAAGCCAAGAGAAAUAGAGAAAGAAAUGUUUCCAACCUUUAAGAGGAAAAAGUUUCAGAUUUGGGAAAUUUGAGAUGGUUCCCGGGUCAAGUGUUUUUUUGUGUUUUAGAUUUGAGAAGUUUCAAAUUCUUGGAGAAGAUAUAAAUAUGUAGAUUUGAAUUUUAAGGGUUUCUUUUUUGAAAUGAGAGAAAUUUUGGAAAAUUUUAUAGGUGUCUUUCUAAUUCGGCUAGGUAAGGAAGUGAAGAGAGUUGAGAGAAAAUGUUCCCAAAUGAGAGAGAUGGAAAGUUUUUGAUUUGGGAAAUUAGAGGUGUUGUCAGGAUGGGUGUUUAUGAGAACUUUCAAAUUCUAAUUUUUGUGUUUUGUUUAAUUUCAGAAGGUCUUGUUGACAUGAAAAGCUGACUUACUGCUGACAUGGAGACAUUGAGGGACAAUCUGGGAAUAGAAAAUGUAAACAUGACAUAGUGCAUGAGAACGAUAAUAUUUUCUCCAAUAACAGGGAAAUAUCAUAUUUCAUAUACUUGGGGUUCGAAAAGCAUAUAAUUUUCAAAUCACAGACUGAAAACACAAGUUUCCCAUAAAUAUACUUAAAGCAUGUUUGAUAACAAUUUUGAAAAAUAAUUUUCGAAAAUAGUUAUUUAAAAUUGUUUUUUGAUGUUUACAACAUAAAAAAAAAAAAAAAACAUGUUUGACAACCUAAAAUAAUUUUUAUAUCUAAUAUUUUAUUUUUAAUAAUUCGAUAUAUUUGUAUAAUUAUUUUUAAAAAUAGCUGUAAAAAAUAAGUGAAAACAAGUAAAGAUGUUAUCCGAAAACAUUAUAUUUUUUAUUUUUAAAAACAAAAAAUAGUUUUUCUUAUUCUCAAACAAGUUUUCCUGUUUUUUACGAAGAAAAAAUUAUUGUCAAACAAUCCCUUAUAUACUUGUGUUUUAUCAAGUGGUGAAAUAUCUUUGUAUGAAUUAUAUAGCAACUCAUAAGAGUAAGAGAAAAAGAGACAAUUUUAAAAGUGCAUAUGACAAGUGGAAAUUAUUAGAAAAGAGGCAAUUUUAAGAAUGGAUUUGAUAUGUGUCACAAAGACCACUAAAAUUUGGUGUGAAUAUAUAAAUAAGUUUUAAAUUUUGUUGAUUAACAUAUCUAUAAAUUUUUUUAUUUAUAAAAUUUAAUUUUUAGAGAAAUUUUAGAUAAAAAGAUUUUAGAUCUAUUCAAUCAAAAAUUGAAAGAGUAACUUAAUGUAUUUACUCUAAGCCUCAUGGUGUGUGAAUUAAACCAACCUUCAAAGAAAAAUAGAAAAAAAAAAAAGUGAAUCAUAAUAAAAAGGAAAGUAGUCAAAAUCAAAAGGAGAAUCAAAUUUGAUUUCCAUAUUAGUGAUUUUUUAAAAAAAAUUCUAUUAUCAUUGUAAAAAAUAAUUCAAAUACAUUAAUAAAUUGAAAAUAAACUUAACUCUUAUUCUCAUUUCUUAUUCCAAUGUUUCAAAUAUAACGUCCAUUUAUUGAUUAGUGUUGCCAAAUCCGAACAAUUGCAUAGCAAUACAAAGAAAUGGAAUUGAGCAUAUAAAACACUUUUUUUUUAUAGUAUCAAAAAGCUACUGAAAAAAAUAUUUCUUAUCUCCAAGAAAUUACUUUUUUAAAAUGAAAAAAUUACUUUCAUUGAAUGAAUACAUAAGCCGUAUUUGGAAUAACUUCUUAUUCUUAAUUUUAAUUAAAAGCAAAAAGUCACAAUUUUUUAAAAAUAAUAUUGAUAUUAUAAAAAAUGUAUUAAACAUAAAAAAACCUUUUUGAAUAAAUCAAAAUAAAGCUUUAAAAAAAACAUUUUCUUGAUUUUCAUAUUAAGUUAUUUUUUAAGUUAUAAAUUAUUUAAAUAAAAUGAGCAGCAUAAAAAAUCUUAUAGAGCUUUAAAAAUGGUUUUUGACUACUCAAAUCCACCCAAUCGGAACCAUCAUCCCGGUAACUUGGGGCCAGAAAAAUUGGCAAAAGGAAUGAGGUUAAAGUUCAGUACGUGUUGCAUGCAUCUUAUUAAAGACCAUAAAAGCAAUUCCAUAAUAUAUCACAUUUGGAGUUUUGGAUUUGGGUUUUUAAACUAAAAUGAGAGAAAUUUUGGGUUGUCGAAAGCGAAGAAAGAUGAGAGAAAACUUUCAAAUAAGUAAAUUGAAAACUUACAGAUUGUGUGUGUGUGUUUUUUUUUUUUUUUUUUAAAAAAAGUUAUAGAUUAAGAUUUUAAUAUUUUUUUUUUCUUAAUUUCAGUGGUUUGAUUGAUAUAGAGGUUGAAAUGAUGUUGAGGAUGCUAAGCUGGAGACAUGAAUGGGCAACUUGGGCAUGAAAGAUGGAGCCAGCUCAGAGGCAUAAAAACGAUAAUACUUUUUAUAUUAAAAAUUGAUUUUCAUAUUAAAUUUUAUACAUCUAUUUUAAAACAAUUAAAAUUUUAUUCAAUUUUCAAUUAUAAUAUAUGCACUGCCUCUCGCGGGUCGAUACUGCUGACGAGUGCAUGAAAUUAUUAUAAAUAUCUCAUGGAAUGAGGACAGAUUAAAGAAGAGGAGAGAGAGAGAGAGAGAGGGAGAAGAAGAAGACAACCAAAAAAGAAAAGGAAGACAGCAUUGUAAACAUAGAAAAUGGAAAGUAUUGGAAAUAUUUCAUGAAAUCGGAGUAAACAACAAAACAAAAUAAAAUACUUUUAAUCCCUGUUUCCUACUUCUGUCAUAAAGUAUGGAUAGAGAUGAGACGAAGGAGGAGAAGGAGGAGAAGGAGGAGCACUCAGCUUUCACCGAUACUGCAGUGUGUUGUGGUGGUGUAGCAUAUGGUAGGAUGUCAUUCUUGCUCCAAAAGUGUGGGCAGAUCCAUUUUUAUUUUCCUUUUUUCAUCUCUGUCCUCACUGAUUCGUUUUGGGUAUCCAUCAAUAUUUAUCAGUGGGCUUGGUGUUAGUCAAAAGCCACCAAUUUUUCUUUCCUUUUUUUUUUUCCCAUAUAUUAGAAUGAAAUGUUGUUGUCCAUUUUAGGGGAAGGCGUUAUGCUGAACUGAACUGUGCGAGGGGAAUGAAAAUUAAUUUAGGGGUUUUCUUCCUCCUCUAUUUUUGGCUCUCUUUCAUGAGGGUACAGAUUCUCUUUUUUUCUCUCGGAGUGUUUGGAUUGUUUCAUUCCAUUUAACUAUUUUUGCAGCAUAUUCCGAGUGUUAUAGGUAUUGGGUAAUCAGUAAUACAGAAAAUGUAAUAUAAUUUUGUACUAUGUAGUUUUGGACUUGGGGUAGGAUGAGUUUAAUUUAUGUAGAUUCAUGUCACUAUUCUCAGCCUUCAAUGCAUUGAUUUCUCCAGAUUUUGAUAUAUAUAUAUAUAUAUAUAUACAAACUGCAAUGGGAAUAAAAAGGAUGGUUGUUUCUUCAAGAAUUCUGAGAAAAAAAAAGGGGGUGGGGGGGCAAGAGAGGUUUGAGGAGGCCAUUGGGACUGUUAUCAGUUCUGUGUCUUUUGUUUUCAAGUUGUAAGAAGUCCCUGUUAUGCCAUUUGCUAUGUUGUUUCUGUCCAAUUUUCAGUUGAAAGAGUGGUAGAUUAGAGAAGGAGGAAUGGCUCAGACAUCUGGAUGCAGCUCUGGAGAUAGUAGAUGGUCUCUCAAGGGAAUGACUGCUCUCGUAACUGGUGGAACUAAAGGAAUUGGGUUUGUGAUGUUACCUGUAUUCUAUGUCUUUGGUUUGGACUACACCUUCCUUCCCAUAUAUAAAUGUAUGUAUCAAUUAUGCAGGCAUGCAAUUGUGGAAGAACUGGCUGGACUAGGAGCAACCAUACACACAUGUUCUAGAAAAGAAACCGAGCUCAAUGAAUGCUUGAAGGAUUGGAAAGCUAAAGGUUUUGGAGUGAGUGGUUCAGUGUGUGAUGUAUCCUCUCGGGCCCAAAGGGAGAAGCUAAUGCAGACUAUCUCUUCUGUGUUCAAUGGGAAGUUGAAUAUCCUUGUAAGUUCCUCUAGCCUGUAAAGUUCCAACCUGUGAUCUUAUACAUAAUUUGUUGAACUUAUUACAAUUGAGUUCCCCUGCUUGAAUUUUUGUUGGAUUCAGAUCAACAAUGCUGCUAUAAGUAUUCAGAAACCAACAAUAGAGGUCACAGCUGAAGAGUUCUCAACAAUCAUGGCCACAAAUUUUGAAUCUGUGUACCAUCUGUCCCAAAUCGCACACCCCCUUUUAAAGGCAUCAGGAGCCGGAAGCAUUGUAUUCAUCUCCUCUGUUUCCGGCAUAGUGGCACACAAGAAUAUCUCUGCUUAUUCAGUAACCAAAGGUAUUUCAUCACAUGAUCCAUGGUAUAUUCCAAGUGCUAGGAGUAAAUUCCUAUUUACCAGAGCAAUACUGAACAAGAGAAACAUAUAGAAUUUAUAGCGGUUCUCUUCUAAAGGGAGAGCUACAUCCAUUUUGCCAUUGUAGAUUUUCAUUAUGAAAAAAAAAAAAACCUACAGAACGAUCUCAGGUCUUACAAUAAUUAUCUCAUCUCUGAUUUUCCACAGAGAAAACAGUCACCAUGCAUGUACAAAAUAACUAUAAUAUCCCUUUGAUUGAUUCUCAGUCACCAGGAAAAGUGUAUAUUGUAAUUAGCAAGGCUCCACACAACUGAACAGCAAGUCCUUGGAUUGACCAUCUGUCAUUAUCAUUUUGUGAUUUUUCAGGAGCAAUGAAUCAACUUACAAAGAAUUUGGCAUGCGAGUGGGCGAAAGACAAUAUUAGAAGUAAUGCUGUAGCUCCUUGGUACAUCAAAACUCCAAUGGUGGAGCAGGUAAUUUCUAAUUUCCCUUCACAUCAUUUAGUUGCUCGAAUUCCCUUCUUUUUUUCUUGGUCUGGGAAAAUAGAAUAAUUGACUCGUCCUUCCUUCUCUGUCGUUUACAUUCUCUGGGUUCCAGAUGCUCACUAACCAAGCCUUUCUGGAAGAGGUGAUAAAUCGAGCUCCACUUCGUCGUGUGGGAGAUCCAAAGGAGGUGUCAUCUUUGGUAGCAUUCCUCUGCCUACCGGCAUCAUCUUACAUUACUGGACAGAUUAUUUGUGUUGAUGGUGGCAUGACUGUUAAUGGUUUUGAGUCAAACCUGCUCUAGGAACAUCAUAUGUGAUGGUAUUAUAGCCCUAAUUUGGCUGGCAUGUAUGGAGACUCUUUCAAACAUCUUAGCUUCCUCUACUGCUUCCAUGCCUGGAUCCUUUCUUUUUCCUGAAUAAUCUGCUUGUCAUGCCAAAGUCUUUAGUUUUUUUGGUGUGGGGUUCCCUUGAAAACCUUGCUGCAUGAUGCUUAUAAUAAUGUUUGGAAAGUUUGCUAAUUUUUAUUUGGGUUCAAAUUUUAAUUUUUCAAAAAGUUUCUUAUUAUUUGAUGAGAUUCUUGUGAAGGGUGUUUUUAUAAGGAUUUUAAUUCCAUACAUAAAUCAUACAUCUUUAAUCUCAAUACCAUUGAAAUAUAUAUCCAAUCCUUUGUUGUUCUUUCGUUUUUUUGUAACUUAAUUGUAGUAGGAUCGGAAAUAUGCGAACACUUUCUACUUUUGACCAUUUGCUUUGCUAAAUUAGACCAACUUUUCAUAAUACAAUUCUCAAGUAUUUCUUCAUUUUCAUUACAAUGAUCAUGCAUGGAUAUGGAAAAACUAAUCGGACUCUAAUGUCGUUCAAAUGCAUUUCAUAGAUCAAUCUUCAUCGUCGUAUCCUAAUUUUCAAAACUUGUUAGAACUUCUAAACUUAGUCAAUAUGUAUAGACAUGAUAUCCUCCAUGAUUUUUUUUUAUUGCAACGAAAAAAAGUUAUACAUUCUAUAUUUGAUCCCUAAAUAAAAAAGAAAAAAAGAAAAAAAAAAGAAUGUCUUGCAAAAAUAUUAGGGUUGCACAAAGUUUGGUUGUUAGAAUAAGUAAAAAUGAUGUGCAUCAAAAUAUGUCUUUGAGAAUGGCAAAUAUGUGAGUGCGCUUUAAAAACUCAAAUGGCUUCAAAUGAAUUUCAAGGAAAUGAUUCCAACAUAUAUUCAUCUUCUUAUACCUUUCUGUGCUUCUCCACCAUUUGUAACAAUUUCCUCACUCAUUUGUAAUCCUAAUAAACCUUCCGACCUAUUUUAAAAUUUGUCAAUAUAUUUUAAGCUAAGCUCACCAUCUAUAGUAUCAAAAAAAUUUCUCCUUAAUCCAUGUGGGAUAUGUAUAAUGAAUAAUAUUUGCUCAAAGGUUAAAUAUAUGAAAAUAAUUAAGAUUCAAUCACAUAAAAAUUACAUAUAGCAAGUAGGGAUAACAAUUUUGAUACUAAUAUAAUAAAACGACUAAAAAAUUACAUGGAUUUUAGUAGUUUUGGGUUAAGUAUAAUCAUAUUUAUGUUAUAAUUGUGUAAACACAUUUAUUAAACCAAUGAUAUUGGAAUGUGACUAUUCAACUCAUUUAACCCAUUUAUUUAUUCAUAUCAAAACACAUCUAUGAUAUGAUUAUGAGAACUAAUUUAUGAUUGACAUAACCAAUUUAUAACUUAUUAAUUAAUUCAUAUAAAUUUAUUAAUUUUAUAGAUAUUUAAAAAAUAUUAAAAAUUUAAAACACUUUUUCAAUUAUAAAGAUGUCCUAUAAAACACUAAGGAGGUCACCCUUAUUUAUAUAUGAAAUUAGGGAAUUAAAUUUGAAAUAUAUGAUAUUUGAUUACUUAAUUUAAAGAAUUUGAUUUCUUAAUUUCAAUAACUUUUCAGCCUCAUUUAAGAAAUUUGCCAACAAUCAAAUGUUUUUUCUAAGUCCCUUUUGACUUCAAUUUCCCAAUUUGUUUCUCCUAUUUGAGAAAUCUAUCAAUAAGAAAAUAUUUCUCUCUAAUUCCUUUUUAACUUUAAUUAUUUUAUUUUAUUUUAUAAGACUAGAUUUUGAAACCGUUCAAAUUUUACCGUGUGUUAUUUUUAAAAUCGUAUAUCGCAUGUUCAAUGUGUAGAAUUCAUGACUUAUGAAAUCCAAAUUUUAUUGAACUAUAGGGUUAUAACUUUAGUGACAAAUUUUAUAGUAAUUUAAUCCUUCUUUUAUUUUUAAGCCUACAUAGCUCAACAAGUUGAAUAUAUUUUUAUCGUGUUAAUGGGUUAUCAGUCUUGAUUUAAUUUAAUUUAUCAAAGAGGUUAAAUGAAUGAUUCCCAAUUUGCCACCACAAUAACAAGAGACAACAGACAGAAGGAAAGAGAAACUAAAAUACGUAAUGUGACUUUUCCUUUCAUGUUGCUUACUAUACUUGGUGUCUCUUAAUUUGUUUUUAUUAUAAGAUGUUAAUAAUAUGAUUUUAUUGAUUUAUACCCCAUAUAUAUCAUUUGAGGGAUUGAAAAUAUUGCAAAUUCAUAAUUAAAUUUAAAAGAUAAAUACAUAUACACACACACACAUAUAUAUAUAUAUAUAUAUAUAUAUAUAUAUAUAUAUGAAUAAAAAAAAUCAUCUAUGUAUAAAAUAAUAAUAAGUAGUCUAUUUUUAUCAUUUUUAUGUUAGAAGUUAAUCGAAAACAUAUUUUUUGUUUUUCCAUAAUUUAUACAAAAUUAUAAUAAAAUUUUUAUUCUAGAUAAAAUUAUAUUUUAUAAUUUGUAAUAAUUUAAUUAUAUCAAUUUAAUAUUUUGAUAUCCGUCGUAAAUUAUAUAGAAAUAUUGGAGUGCAAAUACUAAACUACAUAAUAACAACAAGACACCUUAUUCAUCCAAAUUUUCAAAUUUCAAAUAGAAAAUAUUAAAAACAUAAUUUUUAAAUUUAUUAAAAUAUUUAUAUUUGUAAAAAAGUAAUUAAUAAAGAUUUUAAAAUUUUAAAUAUGAUUAAUGAGAUUAUUAUGUGGGUAUUUAUUACUAAUAUUUAAUAUUAAAAAAAAUAAAAUAACAAUAUGAUAUUAAGAUUAUAUUUUUAUAAAUAUAGCAAAAUGAGAUUAUUCUAAAUUCAGUGAUGAUAACAUUAUAGUAAAAAUAAGGAGUGAUAUAAUUAUAAAUAUUUCACUAAGAGCAUAAAAAAUAAAAAAAUAUGGUAAAUUUAGCGAGUAAUAUUGUUACUAUAAAUAUCUGGUGACACGACGACAGAUAUAUGAGUAGAGAAAAACCUCGCUAUUCUACAUAUAGAGAUUCAGAUACCAUUGCCUAUGUCAUGAAAUCAGAGUCCACAAGAAGACAACAUAAAAUGCUAUCGAUCCAUCGCUGUUUCUUGCUCCUGUUAUAAAUUAUGGAUACUAGAUGAAGAUGAGAAGUAGAAGGAGAAGAAACACUUAGCUUUCAAGGAGUCGUAGAGCAGAGGAGGAGACAUGGCUCAGACAUGUGGGUGCAGCUCUGGAGAUAGUAGAUGGUUUCUCAAGGGAAUGACUGCUCUUGUAACCGGUGGAACUAAAGGAAUUGGGUUGGUGUUACCUGUUUUUACGUCUUUGGGUUUGGACUACACCUUCCUAUAUAUAAACGUAUGUAUCAAUUCUGCAGGCAUGCAAUUGUGGAGGAACUGGCUGGAUUAGGAGCAACCAUACACACGUGUUCUCGAAAAGAAAGCGAGCUCAAUGAAUGCUUAAAGGAUUGGAAAGCUAAAGGUUUGGAGUGAGUGGUUCAGUGUGUGAUGUAUCCUCUCGGGCCCAAAGGGAGAAGCUAAUGGAGACUGUCUCUUCUGUGUUCAAUGGGAAGCUGUAUAUCCUUGUAAGUUCCUCUAGUCUCUAAGGUUCCUAUCCAUGAUAUUCCACAUACUUUGUCGAACUUCCUACAAUUUGAGUUCCCCUACUUGAUAUAUAUAUAUAUAUAUAUAUUAUAUACUUUUUUUUAGAACCAGACAGCUUUGGUUUCAAAGACCCUACAUUUACCCAUCAUCCUUGUUAAAUAAUUAUGAGGAAGUCAUACUUACACGUGGAGAUUGAAAAAAAUAAUGAAUGAAUUCCACCAAAUGAAUUAAUUUUGUUUGGCAAUUUCAUUUGAAAAUCAACAAAGAAUGAUGUGAGGUGUGAAUCUUUUUCCAUAUAUCAGCGCACAUAUUCAAAUUCAGCCCUUUCCAUUAAUCUGAUAGCGAUUAUGAGGUUGCGUAGAUGCUACAACAACGACCAAAUGUGAUGAAGAUUUCAGGAAGUGUUGUGAAGAAUUUGAAGAAAAAUAUGAAGAAUUUGAAACAAAAUAUGGAGGAACACCUCAAUUCAUUCUGUGAUACCUUCCUUUACAAUGAAUGAAAGCAUAAAUAAAUAGCCUACGGAUAUGAGACAAUUCCGGAAUGGAAUUUCCCUUACAUGGAAAGUGAAUAAACUCUUACAUGGGAAGUGAAUAAACUACUCUUACAUGGAAAGUGAAUAAACUACCUUGCUAGAAUUACUCCUAAAUAUAUAAACUACUCUUACAUGGAAAGUGAAUAAACUACCUUGCUAGAAUUACUCCUAAAUCAAUUAUAAUAAAGGCUGUACAUUACACUAAUUAGGGAAGUAAACAGAGGAUGCUGGCUUGAUUUCCAACACUCCCCCUCAAGCCGCAUUGUAGAUGUUGAUCAUUCCAAGUUUUUCUGUCAGAUCUUCGAAGUUAACUCGAGCAAGAGCUUUUGUGAGAAUGUCAGCCGUUUGACAGUUUGUCGGAGUGUAGCUGACUUUGAAAACUCCUUCUUCAAUCUUUUCCUUGAUAAAGUGUCGAUCUAUCUCCACGUGCUUAGUUCGAUCAUGAUGAACCGGAUUCUUAGCGAUACUGAUGGCAGCUUGAUUGUCGCAGUAUAACACCAUGGGAUGCUUCAAUGGAACCCGUAAUUCUUCUAACAGCCUGUUCAACCAGAUUCCCUCGCAGAUACCUUGUGCCAUAGCACGAAAUUCUGCCUCAGCACUGCUACGGGCUACCACUGACUGUUUCUUGCUUCGCCAUGUAACCAAGUUCCCUCAGACAAAUGAACAAUAGCCUGAAGUUGAUCUCCGAUCAGUCACUAAACCUGCCCAAUCUGCAUCUGAAAAAAUCUCUAUCUCUUUAUUUGUUGUUCUUUGAAAGAAGAGACCCUUUCCCGGUGUCAUCUUGAGGUAUCUCAAUAUUCUGAUCACAGCAAUCAUGUGUUUUUCGGUUGGAUUAUUCAUGAAUUGACUUACCACACUAACGGAGAAGCCGAUGUCUGGCCUUGUAUGAGAAAGAUAGAUGAGUUUCCCCACAAGACGUUGAUAUCUUCCUUUAUCAACUGGCGCACUUCCAUCACAUUUCUUCCANNNNNNNNNNNNNNNNNNNNNNNNNNNNNNNNNNNNNNNNNNNNNNNNNNNNNNNNNNNNNNNNNNNNNNNNNNNNNNNNNNNNNNNNNNNNNNNNNNNNNNNNNNNNNNNNNNNNNNNNNNNNNNNNNNNNNNNNNNNNNNNNNNNNNNNNNNNNNNNNNNNNNNNNNNNNNNNNNNNNNNNNNNNNNNNNNNNNNNNNNNNNNNNNNNNNNNNNNNNNNNNNNNNNNNNNNNNNNNNNNNNNNNNNNNNNNNNNNNNNNNNNNNNNNNNNNNNNNNNNNNNNNNNNNNNNNNNNNNNNNNNNNNNNNNNNNNNNNNNNNNNNNNNNNNNNNNNNNNNNNNNNNNNNNNNNNNNNNNNNNNNNNNNNNNNNNNNNNNNNNNNNNNNNNNNNNNNNNNNNNNNNNNNNNNNNNNNNNNNNNNNNNNNNNNNNNNNNNNNNNNNNNNNNNNNNNNNNNNNNNNNNNNNNNNNNNNNNNNNNNNNNNNNNNNNNNNNNNNNNNNNNNNNNNNNNNNNNNNNNNNNNNNNNNNNNNNNNNNNNNNNNNNNNNNNNNNNNNNNNNNNNNNNNNNNNNNNNNNNNNNNNNNNNNNNNNNNNNNNNNNNNNNNNNNNNNNNNNNNNNNNNNNNNNNNNNNNNNNNNNNNNNNNNNNNNNNNNNNNNNNNNNNNNNNNNNNNNNNNNNNNNNNNNNNNNNNNNNNNNNNNNNNNNNNNNNNNNNNNNNNNNNNNNNNNNNNNNNNNNNNNNNNNNNNNNNNNNNNNNNNNNNNNNNNNNNNNNNNNNNNNNNNNNNNNNNNNNNNNNNNNNNNNNNNNNNNNNNNNNNNNNNNNNNNNNNNNNNNNNNNNNNNNNNNNNNNNNNNNNNNNNNNNNNNNNNNNNNNNNNNNNNNNNNNNNNNNNNNNNNNNNNNNNNNNNNNNNNNNNNNNNNNNNNNNNNNNNNNNNNNNNNNNNNNNNNNNNNNNNNNNNNNNNNNNNNNNNAUGCAUGAAACGUAGGUGAUAGCUUAUCAUAAGAAAAUAAAAUUUCCAAAUGGGAUGCUGAGUGCAUGAUCUAACUCCUUUCCUCCAAGCUAUGGGCAUAUUAAGAAUAUCAUUUUCUAACUCGGAAUCAACAGUACCAUCAGGAGCGUUGUUACCUGGAAGUUUGCUUGGAUUAGGACCCGGUUCUGCCUCAUGGGUUUGUUGAGAAAGUGAUCUUUCCUCCGUUUCCUCUUGGAUGUGCUCCUUAUCCCACAAGUCAACAAUGGACUCGGGUUGAUUAAAUGACUCUGGAGGAAUGUGAUUUUCAGUGGUGAUGGGUGACUCACUGAAUGACUCAAGAUCCCAAAAUUGAUAUUCCUGAGUUGAAUUCUCCCCCUGAAUAUCGUUUUUGGGAUAGUAAGGCUGGGUUUCAAAAAAGGUGACAUCCAUUGAAUUUUAGAAUUUUCUUGUGACCGGAGAGUAACACUUAUACCCUUUUUGAUUUGAAGAAUACCCAAGAAAGAUGCACUUGAGUGACCUAGGAUCAAGUUUACUUCUAUGUUGUUGAUUGAUAUGAACAAAGAUAGAGCACCCGAAAAUUUUAGGUGGGACGGUGGAGAUGAGACGAGUAGUCGGAAAGGAUUUUAGGAGUGUUUGACAAGGUGUUUGGAAUUUUAGUACCCUAGACGGCAUCCUAUUGAUGAGGUAGGCUGCCAUAAGGACAGCUUGCCCCCAGAAUAAUUUUGGAACAUUCAUGGAGAACAUUAGUGAUCUAGCCACCUCUAACAAAUGCCUAUUUUUCCUUUCAGCGAUUCCGUUUUGUUGUGGGGUAUCAACACAUGAAUUUAAGUGAACUAUCCCUUCUUGUGCUAGAAAUUCUCCUAGAAUGGAGUUGAAAUAAUCCCUAGCAUUAUCAGACUUUAGAAUUUGUAUUUUUGACUGGAAUUGAGUCUGAAUCAUAUUUUUAAAAUUUUUGAAAAUUUGACUCGUUUCAGAUUUUUCUUUCAUGAGGAAUACCCAAGUUAAUCUAGUGUGAUCAUCUAUGAAUGAGACAAACCACCUAGUACCAGUUACAUUUUUUAUUCUUGAUGGACCCCAGAUAUUGCUAUGAAUCAUUGAGAAUGGACUAGACUCUUUAUAGGGUUGAAUGGGAAAAUGAGACCGGACUUGCUUUGAUAAUUGACAGAUUUCACACUCAAAGGAUUUUGGAUUUUUAUUAAAUAAUGAAGGAAAUAAAUGCUUGAGAUACAUAACAUUUGGAUGACCUAAGCGAUAGUGCCACAACCUAAUUGCACUAUCGUUAUUUUGACAUGAAACCAAAAAAGAAUUACUACCAACUGUCAUUUGAGGUUGUUCUUGUGGAUCGUGGCGCUCCUUAAGGAUGUAGAGUCCAGAGCAUUCCUCAGCAUUGCCAAUCGUCUUCCCCGAAUCCAAAUCCUGAAAUUCACAGUGAGUGGAGGAAAAAUUAGUAGAUACACCUCUUUUCCUUAGUGAGUUUACUAANNNNNNNNNNNNNNNNNNNNNNNNNNNNNNNNNNNNNNNNNNNNNNNNNNNNNNNNNNNNNNNNNNNNNNNNNNNNNNNNNNNNNNNNNNNNNNNNNNNNCGUCAUAUGAUCAGAUGCUCCUGAGUCCACUAUCCAAGGUUUUUUACGUUUCUUACCAGCAGUGAAGGCACUCAAAAAAUUACCUUUGUGAGCCAAGGUUCCGGAACCAAUGACCUGGUUGGAAGAUGAGCCAGUUUGUGACUGUACUGACAAAAGAGGAGACAGUAGUUUCUGAAGCAUCUCCAUCUGAUGAGAGGAUGAAGACGAUGAGAUGAUGAUAUCAGAAGUAGAGGAUGAUGAGUUGGUAGCCAUUCCAAAGGCUGGACCGUAUUUAGGCAUAAAUUAGAAGAAUAGAAUUGAGUAAAAAAAAACUGACUAAAGAUGAAGACGAUGAGACAGGAUUAAACCUGCUCUGAUACCAUGAAGAAUUUGAAGAAAAAUAUGAAGAAUUUGAAAACAAAAUAUGGAGGAACACCUCAAUUCAUUCUGUGAUACCUUCCUUUACAAUGAAUGAAAGCAUAAAUAAAUAGCCUACGGAUAUGAGACAAUUCCGGAAGGGAAUUUCCCUUACAUGGAAAGUGAAUAAACUCUUACAUGGGAAGUGAAUAAACUACUCUUACAUGGAAAGUGAAUAAACUACCUUGCUAGAAUUACUCCUAAAUCAAUUAUAAUAAAGGCUGUACAUUACACUAAUUAGGGAAGUAAACAGAGGAUGCUGGCUUGAUUUCCAACAUGUUGGAGUGCGCAUGCUUGAGGAUGAAAACUGUGAACUUGAAAUGACUUAGAAGAUUAAUUUAAGUUUUCAAAUACAUAAAAUAUAAUUAAUAACAUAACUUAAUACAAUAAGUUAAGGCUUCCUAAAGUCUUAAAAUAAAUAACUUUUUCCCAACCUGAAAUAUCCUUUGCCUUGGUAAUAUUCAUGUUCUUCAAGAUCAAAAUUAGUUUGUUUGAUAUAUAAUUCAAAUUAAAAGAUGGAGGGUGUGCCGGGUCCUUUCUAAAUUCAAAAUGGCAUCAUGAAUCAGGUAAGGUUGUGCCCCACGGAUGAAAAUAUAGUAUUAGUUUGGACAAUGUGCCAUGGAAAGAAGAUAGAUUAAGUUCUACAUAUUCAUAUCAGUUGUCUCAGCUUUCACGGCAGACAUUUUCGACGCAAGAGACCGUCUCUUGCGGUGAGUAUUAACCACACUUCUAAAGUUGGAUGUUCGAGAAGACAACUGGGAUUGAUCAGUUUUGUCUCUUUUAUUUUCAGCUUCCUAGAAUCUCUCUCUCUAUCUCUCUUUUUUUUUUCUCAAGGUUAAUGUCAUUUUCUAUGUUGUGGUAGAGUAGAGAAGAACUCAGAAGGCAUGGCACAGACUGGCUGCAGCAAUGGAGAUAAUAGAUGGUCUCUCAAGGGAAUGACAGCCCUUGUAACGGGUGGAAUGAACUUUGAUCUGUCUCUGCCAAUUAUCACCUUGUUUUUAUAUCAAUUCUGCAGGCAUGCUGUUGUGGAAGAACUGACUGGAUUAGGUGCAAGAAUACAUACAUGUUCUCGAACAGAAACUGGGCUUAAUGAAUACUUAAGGGAUUGGGAGGGUAAAGGUUUUGAAGUCACUGGCUCAGUCUGUGAUGUAUCCUCUAGGGCCCAAAGAGAGAAGCUAAUGGAGACAGUAUCUUCUAAGUUUAAUGGGAAGCUGAAUAUCCUUGUUAGUUCCUCUAGUUUGUUAAAUGUGACCCAUCCAUUUUAGAAUCAUUUUCACUAAAUAUAAUUGAUGAGUUACCCUAACUGAAUCUUUGAAUUUAGAUCAACAACGCUGGAACUGGCAAACCGGGACGGACAGUGGAGUUCGCAGCUGAAGAGUUCUCAACGGUCAUGGCUGUAAAUUUUGAAUCUGUGUAUCAUCUAUGCCAACUUGCGCAUCCCCUUCUGAAGGCCUCAGGAGCGGGAAGUAUUGUGCUCAUGUCUUGUGUUUCAGGUGUAGUAUCACUCAAGUAUCUAUCUGCCUAUGGAGCAACCAAAGGUACUUCAUGCCACCAUCGGGUUUAUGUUGCAGGUCCUGUGUUGUUGGACAAGAUGAUAGAUAUUUACCUUUAAAAUUUUUCUUUCGGGGGCACUGAAUCAGCUUGCAAAGAACUUGGCAUGCGAGUGGGCGCAAGACAAUAUCAGGACAAACUCUGUUGCCCCUCGGUACAUCAAAACUUCUCUGGUAGAACCUGUGAGUUUAAUUCCCUUCACCUCAUUUAAAAGUUGCUGUUGUUUUCAUUGGGAAAACUGAUUAAUAAACCAAUCUUCUGUUUUGUUUUCUUUUAUUUUUUUGGUUGUAUCAUUUUGGUUUCAGUUUCUUAGUGAGAAAAGCUUUACGGAAGAGGUAAUAAGAAGAACUCCGCUUGGUCGAGUGGGGGAUCCAAAGGAGGUGUCAUCCUUGGUAGCAUUCCUCUGCCUACCAGUAUCAUCUUACAUUACUGGCCAGACCAUUUGUGCUGAUGGUGGGAUGAAUGUUAAUGGUUUCGAUCCGAGUCAAUGCUAGAAACAACUAGCAUUUAUAUAAUUGUUGUUUUCUCAUAUUUUUCAUACUCACUCUAAUAUUCUUCAUUAUCAUAUUUAUAUAUAUAUAUAUAUAUAGAUAUAUAUAUAUAUUUAUGUAGGUGUACGUGCACACGUGUGUUCAUGUGCGGAUCAUGGACAUUUUUUUUGUAUUCUGUCAUAUUCUUCUUACACUCUCAAAAUAUUCAUAUAUUUUUUACAAUCUUCAUGCAUUUUUUUUUUUUAAUUCUUGAUAUUCUCUCAUAUUCUUUGUAUAAUUUAUAUUGGAAAAAUGAAUAAAAAAAAUAUGGUUUAAAAUUGAUAAAAUAAGAAUAAAAGAUAUAAAAAUAAAAUAAAAUGAUAGAAAAAUAUCAAUAUUAGAGGAAGAUAUACUUGGAUAAUUAGACGCUAAAACCUUGAAGAUGCAAACAUAGUAUGUGGCUAUUUAAUGAGGAACUUAAGGAAUUUGUUCAAUAAUAGUAGCUACCAUGGGAUUAAAGGAUAGUGUAAACGAGUCCGAGGGAGAAACAAUUUUAAUAAAAAAUUAAUUAAAAAUUUAUAUAUUUGUAAUAAAAAUUUGAAAUAAGUUAAAUUAAUUUAAAAUGAUAUAUAAAAAUGAUUUACUGCUUUAAAUCUAUUUUUAUUUUUUAUUUUUUUUUCAUUUCUUUUUUACUUUUUCUUUAUAUAUAUAUAUAUAUAUAUAUAGAUAUAGAUAUAGAUAUAUAUAUUAUAUAUUUUUUUGAGAACCAGCCAGCUUUGGUUUCAAAGACCCUACAUUUACCCACCAUCCUUGUCAAAUAAUUAUGAGGAGCUCAUGCUUACAUGUGGAGAUUGAAAAAAAAUAAUGAUUGAAUUCCACCAAAUGAAUUAAUUUUGUUUGGCAAUUUCAUUUGAAAAUCAACAAAGAAUGAUGUGAUGUGUGAAUCUUUUUCCAUAUAUCAGCGCACAUAUUCAAAUUCAUCCCUUUCCAUUAAUCUGAUAGCGAUUAUGAGGUUGCGUAGAUGCUACGACGACGACCAAAUGUGAUGAAGAUUUCAGGAAGUGUUGGAGUGCGCAUGCUUGAGGACCAAAACUGUGAACUUGAAAUGACUAUUGAAUGCUACCAUAUGAAAUUCGGCCUGAAUCUUUUUCCAAUUCAAAUGCAGGCAGUUCCAUUAAUUUGAUAGAUAUUAUGAGGUUGCCUAUCAUGCUAAGAUAACCAAAUCCGAUGAGAAGUUCAAGAAGUGUUUUGAGUGUGUUUUAGUACUGACACCAUGAAUUCAAAAACAAAUAUAACAUAGAAACACAAAUCAAAACCCAUCACAUGAUGAUAUAGUCGAUAGGAAAUUUGCUUUCUUAAACCAUGCCACGUCCCAUGAAAAAGAAAAUUAAGAAAAUUACAAAUUUUACUUCGAUGGGCUCACAUGCUAUGUGAACCGUCCACUUAAUCGAGGUUAAGAUUAUCUUCAUUUACUUAGAAGAUAAUAAUGAAUUUUUCAAGUAAAAUUUUUUGAGAACCAGACAGCUUUGGUUUCAAAGACCCUACAUUUACCCAUCAUCCUUGUUAAAUAAUUAUGAGGAAGUCAUACUUACACGUGGAGAUUGAAAAAAAUAAUGAAUGAAUUCCACCAAACGAAUUAAUUUUGUUUGGCAAUUUCAUUUGAAAAUCAACAAAGAAUGAUGUGAGGUGUGAAUCUUUUUCCAUAUAUCAGCGCACAUAUUCAAAUUCAGCCCUUUCCAUUAAUUUGAUAGCGAUUAUGAGGUUGCGUAGAUGCUACGACGACGACCAAAUGUGAUGAAGAUUUCAGGAAGUGUUGGAGUGCGCAUGUUUGAGGACGAAAACUGUGAACUUGAAAUGACUUAGAAGAUUAAUUUAAGUUUUCAAAUACAUAAAAUAUAAUUAAUAACAUAACUUAAUACAAUAAGUUAAGGCUUCCUAAAGUCUUAAAAUAAAUAACUUUUUCCCAACCUGAAAUAUCCUUUGCCUUGGUAAUAUUCAUGUUCUUCAAGAUCAAAAUUAGUUUGUUUGAUAUAUAAUUCAAAUUAAAAGAUGGAGGGUGUGUCGGUCCUUUCUAAAUUCAAAAUUGCAUCAUCAAUCAAUCGGAUAAGGUUGUGUCCGACGGAUGAAAAUGUAAUAUUAGUUUGGACAAUGUGCCAUGGAAAGAAGAUAGAUAGAUUAAGUUCUACAUAUUCAUAUCAGUUGUCUCAGCUUUCACGGCAGACAUUUUCGACGCAAGAGACUGUCUCUUGCGGUGAGUAUUAACCACACUUCUAAACUUGGAUGUUCGAGAAGACAACUGGGAUUGAUCAGUUUUGUCUCUUUUAUUUUCAGCUUCCUAGAAUCUCUUUUUUUUUUUUUUCUCAAGGUUAAUGUCAUUUUCUAUGUUGUGGUAGAGUAGAGAAGAGCUCAGAAGGCAUGGCACAGACUGGCUGCAGCAAUGGAGAUAAUAGAUGGUCUCUCAAGGGAAUGACGGCCCUUGUAACGGGUGGAACUAGAGGAAUCGGGUCCGUGUUACCUGUUUUUCUGUUCUGGAAUGAACUUAAUUUGAUCUGUCUCUGCCAAUUAUCACCUUGUUUUUAUAUCAAUUCUGUAGGCAUGCUGUUGUGGAAGAACUGACUGGAUUAGGUGCAAGAAUACAUACAUGUUCUCGAACAGAAACUGAGCUUAAUGAAUAUUUAAGGGAUUGGGAGGGUAAAGGUUUUGAAGUCACUGGCUCAGUCUGUGAUGUAUCCUCUAGGGCCCAAAGAGAGAAGCUAAUGGAGACAGUAUCUUCUAAGUUUAAUGGGAAGCUGAAUAUCCUUGUUAGUUAACCUCUAGUUUGUUAAAUGUGGCCCAUCCAUUUUAGAAUCAUUUUCAUUAAAUAUAAUUGAUGAGUUACCCUAACCGAAUCUUUGAAUUUAGAUCAACAACGCUGGAACUGGCAAACCGGGACGGACGGUGGAGUUCACAGCUGAAGAGUUCUCAAGUAUCAUGGCUGUAAAUUUUGAAUUUGUCUACCAUCUAUGCCAACUUGCUCAUCCCCUUUUGAAGGCAUCAGGAGCGGGAAGUAUUGUGCUCAUGUCUUCUGUUGCAGGUGUAGUAUCACUCAAGUAUUUAUCUGCCUAUGGUGCAACCAAAGGUACUUCAUUCUACCAUAGGGUUUAUGUUGCAGGUCCUGAGUUGUUGGACAAGAUGAUAGAUAUUUACCUUGAUAAUUUUGCUUCAGGGGCACUGAAUCAGCUUGCGAAGAGCUUGGCAUGCGAGUGGGCGCAAGACAAUAUCAGGGCUAACUCUAUUGCUCCUUGGUUCAUCAAAACUUCUCUGGUAGAACCUGUGAGUACCCUUCACCUCAUUUGAAGUUGCUGUUGUUUUCAUUGGGAAAACUGAUUAAUAAACUAAUCUUCUGUUUUGUUUUCUUUUAUUUUUUUGGUUGUAUCAUUUUGGUUUCAGUUUCUUAGUAAGAAAAGCUUUACGGAAGAGGUAAUAAGAAGAACUCCGCUUGGUCGAGUGGGGGAUCCAAAGGAGGUGUCAUCCUUGGUAGCAUUCCUCUGCCUACCAGCAUCAUCUUACAUUACUGGCCAGACCAUUUGUGUUGAUGGUGGGAUGAGUAUUAAUUGUUUCGAUCCAAGUCAAUGCUAGAAACACCUAGCAUUUAUAUUAAUAUAUGUUGUUUUCUCAAAACCGCUUCUGUUUUUGGGAUUAUUUGCUCGUGAUAGUGACCUUGUGGUCCUAGGAUUAAUGCAUGGUUACCAAAUAUUAAGUCUAUGCUUCCAAUAAAUAUUAAAAAAUUUCUUAUUAUUCAAUCACGGAUUUCUACCUUCUUCUCCGGUCAUAGAUACUGUUUAGGUCUCCGGUGCAUUCCCCGCUCACCCACCUACAUCUGAUUGGUUGCAACGUUCAAUCACGGAUUUCUUAUUAUUCAUAUAUCUUUUAGUACAUUUUUUCAAAUUCUUGAUAUUUAUUCGUAUUAUUUGUAUAAUUUAUAUAAGAAAAAAUGAUUUAAAAUAAAAAUAUAUGGUUUAAAAUUGAUAAAAUAUCAUGAAUAACGUUUUACAAUCCAUAAGAUACAAAAAUAAAACAAACUGAUAGAAAAAUAUCGACAUUGGUUAAAAAUAAUUAAGUUAAUCGCGAGUAUAACUAAAUCAUCUCAACUUGAUGAAUGAUAAAUUCAUUUAUAAAAAAAUUUAAAAUAAAAAACCUAUUAAUUAUUGAAAAUUCAAAUAUGAUUUGAUAUAAAUGUUUUGUUAUGAAAUUUACAUUUGUAUGAAAAAAUAGUAAACUUUUCUUAAGGUUCGUAGUCCCCUGGAAACAUUUUUUAGUAUUUUUUUCGAGAGGUACAAAUUUCUUGCUUACUUUAAUAUAUUUAAGACACAAAAUUUGACAUAUAUAUUUGAUCCAUCAAUCAAAACUCCCAUCCCACACACAUUUUGUAAAGUUAGAGCCAUUAGUUUUUAUAUUCAAUUUUUACCUCUUUUUUUGCAUAUUUUAAUAAGAAUAAAUUAGAUGUUGUAAUUUCUUAUUUUAAAUAAGAGUAUGAUACCACAUUAAACGAUAAAAUAAAAAUUGUAUAUAUGUGAAAUAUAUGUCAUUAUUCAUCUUGAUAUGUAUUAUACUGUUUACCUCUUCAACAAGUUUUGUAAAAUUUUUUGUUUUGUAGUAAGUAAAGUGUGGAGAGUUACCCUCAAAGACAUGGGAUUUAAAAGAAAUAAGAAAAAGAGAAAAAUGUCAAAUAUUUCUUAUUAUAAUCACUUGAAAAAUAAGUCCAAUACACGUGGAGUUGAAAUAGGUUUACAAUCAAAGGAAGUAAAAGAAAAAAAGAUAAACUAAUCUUUCCUUGCUCCAAAAAAGAAAGAUAAUAAUGUUGAUGUGGUAAAUAAAUUAAUAAUUUUAACAUCUCCCCACAAACUCAUAAAACUCAUAAUGCGGUUGUAAGAAGUAGUGAGAGCUUAAAUAAAUUAACUUACAAUAAAAUGAAGUAAAAGAAAAAAAUUAAUUUACCCUUACUCGAUAAAUCUUUAGUAUAUUAUUAUUAUUAUUAUUAUUAUUAUUAUUAUUAUAUCUCAAAGUCAAGAUUAUGAACAUGAAAAUUAAACAUAUCGCGCUUCAAUCUUGACAAGACUAAUAUAAAGUGAGGUUUUCCCCUUCUUAUUAUUAAUAUUAUUAUUAUCACUACUACGAUAUCUUUGUUUACACUAAAAUCUUUUCUUUAAUGCCCUCAAAGUCAAGAUUACGAACAUAAAAAGCAUGUCACACUUCAAUGUUCACAAGACUAAUACAAAAUGAGGUUUCCUCCUAAAUUUAUUAUUACCAUUACAUAUCUUUGUUUACACUAAAAUCCUAUCUUUAAUACCCUAAAAGUCAACAUUAGGAACAUGAGAAACAUUUCACUAUUUAAUGUUGACAUGACUAAUACAAAGUGAGGUUUCCCUAAAUUUAUUAUUAUUAUUACAUAUCUUUGUUUUCACUAAAAUCUUAUCUUUAAUACCCUAAAAGUCAAUAUUAGGAACAUGAGAAACAUUUCACAAUUUAAUGUUGACAAGACUAAUACAAAGUGAGGUUUUCCCCUAAAUUUAUUAUUAUUAUUACAUAUCUUUGUUUCCAUUAAAAUCUUAUAUUUAAUACCCUAAAAGUCAAUAUUAGGAACAUGAAAAGUAUAUCACACUUCAAUGUUGACAAGACAUUAUACAAAGUGAAGUAUUAUUUCCAUAAUAUCUUUGCUUACACUAAAAUCUCAUCUUUAAUAUCCUUGAAGUUAAGAUUAUGAGCAUGAAAAAUAUGGCAUACUUCAAUGUUGACAAGAUUAAUACAAAGUGAGGUUUCUUCGUCAAUUUAUUAUUAUUACUACAAUAUCUUCCUACACUAAAAUCUCAUCUUUAAUAGCUCAAAGUUAAUAUUACAAGCAUGAAAGUUCAACAUGCCAUCCUCCAAUCUUAACAAGGCUAAUACAAAUUGUGAUUUCCCUAAUUUUUUUUCCAUUGUCUUUCUUUUUCUUGUACCUGUUGUGAUCGAUUUAGGUCACAAGCCAAAUAAUUGCAAGAAAAUGAACUCACACGUGAAAAUUGAGAAGGAUGAAAUAUUCUCUAACAUUGCACACUCUUAGAAGAAAAAUCAUUUGGUUGACAAUUUUAUUUGAGACUAACAAAUUGACGGAAGGACAUGAUGUGAGGCCAGCUUGUAUAUGCUUUUAUUCAAAUCUAGCCACAUGAUGAAUCCUACAAACUCCUUUCCCAUUUUUUUAUUGCAAUGUUUUAAAUGAUGCCACGUACCUAAAUUCUUGAAAUUUUGAGUCAGUUAAAGACAUGUCUGGAUGGCAUGGAGGAGAGUUAGGGGGCUAUUCGGCUUGUACCCCUUCAAAUUCAGCCUGCUCCAUUAAUUUGAUAGCUAUCGUGAGGUUGCCUAUGAUGCUAAGAUAACCAAAUGUGAUGAGGAUUUCAAAAAGUAUUCGAGUGUACUUCAGUACCAAAUCUGUGAAAUGAUUAUUGAAUGCUACCUAAUUUUGUUUGAAAUUUUCAUUUGAAAUUAAAUAAAUAAAUAUGUGAGGCCUAAAUCUUUUUCCAUCAUAUUGUACUCAUGUUCAAAGUCUGCCACUUCCAUUCAUUUGACAGCUAUAAUGAGGUUGUCUAUGAUGCUAAAAAUGACCAAACGUGAUGAUGAUUUCAAGAAGUAUUCCAGUAUAUUUUAAUUGGCAAUGUUUUAAAGAUAGGUAUCAUUCAUCCUAAAAAUUCAUCCAUUCAUGUUCAUUGCAUGGUCGAAAUGUUAUUAAACAACUAACAUUAUAAAUAUAUAAUUUAUAUUUUAUUAAAAUUAAAAAUAAUUUUUAAAAACUAAUAUGUAUAUAUAUAUAAUUAAAAACCAAUUAUAUUUAUUUUUUAAUCUUUUAUAUAAAUGUACUAAUAAUUAAAAUUUUAUUAAAUAAAAUAUGUAAAAUUUGAAAAUUGAAUAAAAUUUGCAUUAUAUAUAUAUAAAAGUUUAAAAGAUACUAGAUUAUUUUAUUCAUAUUGAAUUUCUGAAAUAAUAUACAUAUUUUUUUCUUUAGUUUCACAAACAUUAACAUUUGGAUAAGUAGCUGAGUAGUUGUUCCUGAAAAUGCUCAAGCACAUAUUAGCAAGAAUGAAGAAUUUGUUUCUAUUCUUUCAUAUUUUACAGUAGACCAAUGGCUAUAUAUAUAUAUUACAAUGUAACUAAUCUAACCAUCUAUUGAACUACCUAACCAUCUUCUAACUAAUCAUAACAACAUCUGUUAGAGAGGAGAAGAAUCAGCUGCUGGUGCGGGUGCUUGUCUAUCAUCCCCCCGCAAGCUGACAGGUCUUGGGACAAUAGAGAAAUGAGUACGAGCGGCUGAGAACUAACAGCUUGGAACAUAUUUAGUAAAGACAUCUGCCAACUGGUCGGUAGAAGGAACAUAUUGAAUUAAAAGCUCUUUGCGAAUGACCUUAUCACGGACAAAGUGAAGAUCAAUCUCUAUGUGCUUGGAACGGGCAUGGAAGACAGAGUUAGCUGCAAGAGGAGCAGCACUGAUAUUGUCACACCAGAUCAAAGGAGUGUUCGGUUGAGGAAUGCACAACUCUUUGAUCAGAAACUGAACCCAGGAGACCUCAACAGCGAGAAAAGCAAGUGCCCGGUACUCCGAUUUUGCACUACUACGAGAGACGACACGUUGCUUGGUAGAGGACCAUGAGAUGAGAUUGGUGCAAAAAAAAAAGACAAAAGCCACUAGUGCUUCUUCUAUCAUCGAGACAUGAAGCCCAAUCCGCAUCGGUAUAGCCUUGAAGAGACCAAGAUGGUGAGGCAUGGAUAGAAAGACCAUGAGUAGCAGUACCUUUGAGAUAGCGAAGUAUGUGUUUAGCAGCUUGCAGAUGAGAAGUGAUAGGAUGAGCCAUGUAUUUACAAGCUUGAUUUACUGCAAAUGAGAUUUUUGGUCUUGUGAGAGUGAUGUACUGAAGAGCACCCACAAGACUGUGAUAGUGAGUAGCAUCAAGAGCAGAUAAAGGUUCUCCAUCUGCUGCUGAUAACAAUUUUCCCAAAGCACCAAGUGUGCUAGCAGAUUUGGCCCCAAGAAGAUCAGCACGCUCAAGUAGCUGAUGUAUGUAGCGUUGUUGAUUGAGAUGAAGAACAUGAGGAAGCCGGGUGACUUCAAUGCCAAGGAAGUAGCUAAUAUCUCCAAGGUCUUGAAGAGCAAAAUGGGAGCUAAGCUGAGAAAUGAUAUGAUGGACCUGUGGUGGAUUGUUGCCAGUAAUGAGAAUAUCAUCCACAUAGAUUGAGAUGAUGAUAAUAUCAGAUGCAGAGUGGAAAUAAAAUAAAGAUGCAUCAGCCCUUGAGCAUUGGAAUCCCAAUUGUAAGAGAAAGGAGCUGAGCUUGUGGAACCAGGCUCGAGGCGCUUGUUUAAGGCCAUAGAGAGCCUUCUGUAGACGACAAACAUGAGUGGGGCAAGAGCUAUCUUCAAAGCCUAGAGGUUGCAUCAUGAACACCUGUUCUUAAAGAUCUCCAUUUAAAAAAGCAUUGUGGACAUCUAGUUGUUUAAUAGGCCAGUUGGAAGAGACAACAAUGGAGAGAACAAGCCUGAUAGUGCAAGGCUUCACAACUGGACUAAAUGUCUCAAAAAAAUCAAUGCCAUAGGUUUGAUGAAAACCUUGGGCAACCAGCUGAGCUUUGUACCUGUCAAUGCUGCCAUCAGGUUUAUGUUUGAGUUUGAAGACCCAUUUACACCCAAUAAUUUUGGCAUUAGAUGGAGGUGGCACCAAAGACCAAGUUUGAUUCUUCAAUAGAGCUUGAUAUUCUUGUUCCAUAGCAAGCUUCCAAUUAGGGUCUUGAAAAACCUGUUUGACAGUACGUGGCUCAGCUAUGAGUGAGGUAAGAUAGGUCUUCUUCUUAUAGAUACCAAAUUUGGAUCUGGUAAUCAUAGGAUGACUAGGAAUUGGAGCUAUGGAAUCCUGGAGGGAAGCAGUAGAAAUCUCAGCUGCUUCAUCCACAAAUGGCACCUGAAUGAGCGGGGGUAAAGACAAAAAGCUGGCUAGAGGUGAUGUGGGGGCAAGUUCGGAUGGGAUAGCCGGAGAAGAGCUGGUUGUGGAGGGGAAAAGAACAGAAGAUGGAGGAAAAAGAAAUGCUGGAGUGACAGGAAAAUGAGAUGAUUGGUGGGAAGGAGAAGUCAAUGCUUGAAAUGGAAAUGUAGUCUCUACAAAGACUACAUGCCUAGAGAUAUAUACUCUGCCAGUUGUAAGAUUAAGGCAAAAAUAACCCUUGUGAAAUGUUGCAUAACCAAGAAAGAUACAGGGUAUGGACUAUGGCUGAAAUUUGUUGGAGUUGAGAUGUCUGAGGUGUGGAUAACAAAGACAACCAAAGACUUUGAAAUGGAAAUAAUCAGGUGGGUGUUUGUAAAGAAGAGAAAAUGGGGAGCUGUAAUUGAGCAAAGGAGAAGGCAUGCAAUUGAUAAGGGUAAUUGUUGUAGUGAAAGCAUAGGACCAAAAUUUGGAUGGCAGGGCAGUUGUGUAAAGAAGAGUGAGCCCGAUUUCUACAACAUGGCGCAUUUUGCGUUCAACCCGACCAUUUUGUUCAGGUGUAUAAGGGCAAGAAAAUCUAUGGAGUAUACCAUGAAGAGAUAGAAACCGGAGGGUAGUGAACUUUCCACCAUGGUCUGUUUGAAGGCAUUUAAUGGUGGUCUGAAAUUGGUUUUCAACAAGAGUUUUAAAUUGAACAAAAGUGGAGUAAACCUGGUCCUUGGUGAGGAGUAAAUAUAUCCAUACAAACCUAGAGUAAUCAUCCAUGAGCAACAAAAAAUACCAGGCACCUGCGGAGGAAGGAACAGGUGUUGGUCCCCACAAGUUUGCAUGGAUGAGUUCAAGAGGAGAGGAGGCCCGGGAAGUGGACAAAGAAAAAGGAAUUUUGUGACUUUUGGCAUAACAACAAGCAUUGCAAACAUCAAUUGUUUUAUUUGAGUUAUAUGAAAUAUUACAUGUAUGAAAAAUUUUCUGAAGUAUUAUAGCAGAAGGGUGGCCAACUCGUUGAUGCCACAACAUAGUAGUGGGCUGAGUUUUUGUGAGAAACACUUGAUGUUUAGAAUUGGCAGUAGGUGAGUUGAUAGAUGAGGUAGGAAAUUUGUAGAGUCCACGUUCAAGUUGGCCUUGGAGAAGAGUCACUUUGGUAUCCUUGUCCUUGACAAAAAAUGAAAAAGGAUGAAAUUCAAGAAUGGUAUUAUUAUCAGUACAGAAUUUUGACACACUGAUGAGAUUUGAAGUGAGUUGUGGAACAUGAAGCACAUUGUGUAAAACAAAGGGUUUAGCAGAAAUGUGGAGAAAGGAAUGACCAACUUGGGUUAUGGGUAGGGACUUACCAUUGCCAACCAUCACAGAGUCAGUACCAUUGUAUGAAGUACCAUUGUGGAUAUUAGCAACUGUGUGGGAGAGAUGGUGGGUGGCGCUUGAAUCCAAAAACCAGGAGUCCGUUGAUGCUGGGGAAGGUGCUGCCAUCAUGGCUUGAGCAGGAGGAGUGGGACCAGUUUGAGAGGUUGAUGAGGCUGGUGCAUGUGGCCCUUGAUAAUUCACAUCAAAUCUGUGAUAACAAGAGAGGACCAUGUGCCCAAACUUGCCACAUAACUGACACUGUGGUUGGUUAUUUGUCCGGGAUCGAUUAUUGUUGAAUCGGUUAGGGCGAUAUCCUUGAGGAUGUUGCUGUCGUGAAUUUGGAAGAGUGUCAGGUCGUGGGGUUGGCAUGAAUGACUGAGGUGGUUUCCCUUGAGAGGGUUUGAUGGACUGUGACCUUCGUGGUCUGUUAUGAGUUGCAAUAUUGGCAAUGAGGAGGUCUUCUUCAGCAGUUGUGGUUUGAAGAUGCAGCCUCUAUUCAUGAGUCAGAAGGAUGCUAUGUACCGCAUGAAGUUGAAGGUCAUCAUCUCUAGCUGUGAGAGAAGCCAUGAUGGGGUUGUAUUCAACCCCUAGUCCACUUAGUAAUUGAAGAAUUUGAUCCUUUUCUGGCACUGGUUCUCCAAUAGCUGCUAGACUAUCAGAGAUGUGUUUGAGUUUUUGGAUGUAUUCCAUCAUGGUAAGAGGGCCUUUUUUGGUUGUUUGAAAAGCAAGUCUCAGCUGCAUUGUUCUUGCUUUGGUGGAAGCAGAGAAGCUUCAUUGGAGGGUUGUCCAUGCUUCAUGGGAUGUUCGUAGCCCAACAAUUUGGCCCAUAACAUCUGGAGUGAGAGAGGAGUAGAUCCAACUCAGGAUCAUACGAUCAUAUCUCCUCCAAACCAGAAAAUCUGGGUUCACUUCUCCGGUGGAUAUUAUUUUUGGAGGACAUGGUCUCAGACCUUCAAUAUAGUCCUCAAAUCCAUUGGCAUAUAUCACAUUUUCCAUUUGUGUAUGCCAAAGGAUAUAGUUAUCUCUAUCUAGUUUGAUAGGAAGAGGAUGGUUCAGCAUGCUCAUGUUCAGGGUAGAGGUUACCUGAGAAGAGACAAUCUCCGGCGUGGUUUGUGUUGAUGAAGCCAUCGGAAACUAGGUACAGUAUGUUCUUGAAGCUUUCUUGAGGUGAGUAAGAAAAGCAAAAGGUAAUCUGCAGAUGAUGUAUAUCAGAAGAAAGUUGCAGUAGAAAGAGUUGUUGGAGAUUUCUUUAUUGUCUUGCUGGGGAGAGAAAUCAAAAAACGAAAAUUCAUGAGCCUAUGGCUCUGAUACCAUGAAAAUGCUCAAGCACAGAUUAGCAAGAAUGAAGAAUCUGUUUCUAUUCUUUCUUAUUUUACAGUAGACCAAUGGCUAUAUAUAAAUAUUACAGUGUAACUAAUCUAACCAUCUAAUCAUCUAUUGAACCACCUAACCAUCUUCUAACUAAUCAUAACAGCAUCUGUUAGAGAGGAGAAGAAUCAGUUGCUGGUGCGGGUGCUUGUCUAUCAGUUCCAAGUUACCUUAAACCUUGAAAGGAUCAAGUCCUUUUGAUUUUGUUUAAAUAAGCUACUAAGCUACUGCUCACUCCACAUUGGAAAUUCAAGGGGAUGAAAAAAGGUUUAUAAAUCUCAUUCAUCUCCAACAGGUCACAUGGCCUUUAGGCCGUGGGAGGCAAUGCGGUGAGUGGGUCGUGUGCUCUAAAUGGAGGCCUAUUUUUGCAACAAAAGAAAGACCGAAACCAAACCAAGCAUGAACCAAAUCGGAUCAAGAUCCAGUCGACGGUCUGACUAGUUCAGUAGGAAUUUUUCAUAAUAUGGUUUAAUGGCAUGUAGAUAUUCUUUAGUCAAAGUUUUAAUAAGCCCAUCAAAAGUUGUAAUAUUUUAUGUUAUAAGUUAAUAGAGAAUAUUUUUUACUUUAAAUUUUUGUUGGUAUUUUCCCAUAAUCUAUAGUUAUUAAGGCAUUGAUAUUUUCUCAAAUUAUAGAAUUAAGUUCUAAAACAACAUUUAUUUUGACAUAGAUGAACAUUUGAAAGAUUAUAAUUUAUCUUUAACUUAUUUUUCUUUAUAACCAAAAUCUUUUCUCUCGAUUUUUCAUAAUAUUUGAUUAUGAUUAAUUAUUCAUGCAUACAAUCUAGGUCUGAAUCUAUUAUCUUCAACACUUAUUUUUAUUUUUUUAUGUCAUGUUUGAAAAUUUACUUUAGAUAGUAAGUCAAUAAAUGUUUCUAAAGGUAAAUGAGUGUUUGGUAUUAUGAUUCUUAGAUCUUGACUAGUAAGGGAUUCUUUAUAAUUUGUUCAUUUUAUUACUUGAGCUAAUUUAAUUCUCUAUUUAUUAAUUUCUUAUAUUUCAUCAUGUAAAUUUUGAAUAGUUAUAAGUUUGUGAAUAGUUUUGAAUCUAUUAAAUAUUUCAUCUAUAAUAUUGAUUAGAUUUGGGUUCUUGAAGUCUACUUAUCUCUUUAAUUUGUAAGAAUUAAAUCUUUUAAAUAUAACAAAUAUUGAAUUUUUAUGUUGAAUCCUCUAUUUUAUGACAUCAAAAAAUAUUUAUUUAUUUACUUUUGAAUAAAUCAUAUUUAUUAUUUUAUAUGAACAAACAUACUCACUUUCACAUUCAUUUUCAUCAUUAGAGUCUUCUAGACUAAUUAUAUUGGUUUAAUGUGUCUAGUAUUUGUGAUAAAUUUCAUAAAAAUAUUCAAGUGUAAAUAUUAAACUACAUAGUAUACUGUCACAUAUGACACAUUUCAAAUAGUAAAGACUAAAACCAUAAUUAAAGAUAACUUAGGUUUUAUUUUUUUUGUCAAAAAUAUUAUAAUUUUAAUUAAUUGAAUUAUUAAUUUUUCAAAAAUUUAGAAAAAAUAAAAAAUAGUAUUUUAAAAUUUGGCUCUCUUGAAAAUCAUGAGAGGAUAAAAAUUGGUAAAAAAAUAAAUAAAUUUAGAAAAGGUUAUUGAGAUUAAUUAAGUACAUCCUUGCCAUGAUAUUUAAUAUUUUUUUUAUGUUUUAUAAAUAGGGUAAAUGGACAUCGUUCUAAAUACAGGAAGAUGAUAUUAUUAUAUAUAAAAAAAAUGUAAAAAUAGUGAGUAAUAUUAUUAAAAAUAUCUCAUGGAAUGGGGCAAGAUAAAGGGCCAAAAAAAAAAAAAUUAGAGAAGAAAGAAGAAAAAGAAGAGUGUUGUAAGCACAGGAAGUCAAAAGUACUGUAUAAGCGUGAUUCAUCCCUGUUUCCUACUUCGAUUAUAAAGUAUGGACAGAGAUACAGAAAAAAAAAAAGAGAAGAAGCAGCAUUCAGCUUUCACCAGUGCAGAGUGGUAUGGUGGUGUAGCAUAUGUUUGGUUGUUAUUCUUGCUCCAAACAAGUGUGAGCUGAUCCAUUUCUAUACUCAUUUUUGUUAUCUCAGUCGACUGAUUCGUUUAGUGGGCCUGGUGUUAGCCAAAAGCUAGCCACCAAUUUUCUUUGCUUUAUCCCAUUACAUUAGAAUAAAAAGAAAAUGGAGGUUUGAGAGGGCCAUUGGGACCAUUGGGACCAUUAUCAGUUGUCUUUUGUUUUCAAGUUGUAAGAAGUCCUGUCAAGGUUUAUGUCAUUUGCUAUGUUGUUUCUGUUCCAUUUUCAGUUCAAAGAGUGGUAGAGUAGAGAAGGAGGCAUGGCUCAGACAUUUGGGUGCAGCUCUGGAGAUAGUAGAUGGUCUCUCAAGGGAAUGACUGCUCUUGUAACUGGUGGAACUAAAGGAAUUGGGUUGGUGUUACCUGUUUUUAUGUCUUUGGGUUUGGACUAUACCUUCCUAUAUAUAAACGUAUGUAUCAAUUCUGCAGGCAUGCAAUUGUGGAGGAACUGGCUGGAUUAGGAGCAACCAUACACACGUGUUCUCGAAAAGAAACUGAGCUCAAUGAAUGCUUGAAGGAUUGGAAAGCUAAAGGUUUUGGAGUGAGUGGUUCAGUGUGUGAUGUAUCCUCUCGGGCACAAAGGGAGAAGCUAAUGGAGACUGUCUCUUCUGUGUUCAAAGGGAAGCUGAAUAUCCUUGUAAGUUCCUCUAGUCUCUAAGGUUCCUAUCCAUGAUAUUCCACAUACUUUGUCGAACUUCCUACAAUUUGAGUUCCCCUACUUGAUAUAUAUAUUUUGGUUCCGGAUUCAGGUCAACAACGCUGCUAUUGUUAUUCAGAAACCAACAGUAGAGGUCACGGCAGAAGAGUUCUCAACAAUCAUGGCCAUAAAUUUUGAAUCUGUGUAUCAUCUGUCCCAACUCGCACACCCCCUUUUAAAGGCAUCAGGAGCGGGAAGCAUUGUAUUCAUCUCCUCUGUUGCCGGCGUAGUGUCAGUCAAGUAUCUGUCUGCUUAUGCAGUAACCAAAGGUAUUUCAUUACAUGAUCCACAGUAUAUAUAUAUAUCGCAAGUUCUUGGGUUGUGGCCCUUGUGGCCUUCUCGGCGUGUCAUUAUCAUUAUCAUUUUGUGAUUUUUCAGGAGCAAUGAAUCAACUUACAAAGAAUUUGGCAUGCGAGUGGGCGGAAGACAAUAUUAGAAGUAAUGCAGUUGCUCCUUGGUGCAUCAAAACUCCGAUGGUGGAUCAGGUAAUUCAGUUGCUCUUCUUUUUUGUCUGGGAAAAUUCAAUAAUCAAUUCCUCUCUCUUUUCUGUCUUUUGCAUAAUCUGGGUUGCAGAUGCUCAGUAACAAAACCUUUCUGGAAGGGGUGAUAAAUCGAGCUCCACUUCGCCGUGUGGGAGAUCCGAAGGAGGUGUCAUCUUUGGUGGCAUUCCUCUGUCUACCAGCAUCAUCUUACAUUACUGGACAGACUAUUUGUGUUGAUGGUGGCGUGACUGUUAAUGGUUUUGAGCCAAACCUGUUCUAGGAACAUCAUUAAGACUCUAAAAAAUCUUAGCUUCUUCUACCGCUUUCCUGUUUGGAUCCUGUCUUUUUCCUGAAUAAUAUGUUUGUGGUGGUAAGUACUCUUCUGUUUUUUCGGUGUGGGGUUCAUUUGAAAACAUUGUUGCAUGAUGCUUAUAAUAAUCGUUGGAAAGUUGGAAGAAGUUACUUAUCAUUGGAUGAGAUUCUUGUGAUGGGUGUUUCCUAUAAUCAGAUUUAUCUUGUUAUAAGGUUGUUGUUGUUGUAGUAAUAGGAUUGAAAGAGAAAUGCAAAUAAUCGUAAAAGGAU
rnacentral:lncRNA from 1 species